UUCUGAGCAUUGCCAAAUGUUUCGUUGUGGUAGAACGUAAGAGCUGGAAACUGUGCUUCCGCGCUUUGUCAAACUUGAAGUGCUUCUUAUAUCUACAACAAAGUCUUAUCAACAACCUUCUCCUUUACUGAAGUUCUAAGUAACUUUUUAAAUCAGCCCGUCAGUGAGGCUCAACACCGAUUGUGACACGAUACAGCAAUCCGGCAAGAGCGAUCCCGUCCCCAUGCUGACUCGGGUCCGCAGCAAGACGUUCAUCGUCACCGGCGAGGCGCCCGAGGGCAUCCCGAGCAUGGGCACCGCUGUCAAGGGACUCCUGAUGAACUGGCUGAAGUCUGGGAGCGUCUUUGCUGCGCAGCAGAAAGGUUUUAUCCUCCCCGGAACGUGGACUCAGAGCGUCACGAUGGCCAAGUGAGAGGGGUACUCCGAGAUGUGGCAGCGUUCACAGCUUCAGCCAAAACUGCAUUGUUAUAGAAGAGAUGUAGUGCUUUAACCAGUCUAAGAUGUCUUUCUAAAUAUUUAGAAUGGAAUCCUACCAAUAUUUUGGAAAGUUCAUCGAUCAUGGUUGCGUAAUUAAGAUACAUUUGAUCUCAUUCUUCCUGUUACUGGAAGUGACUAGAGAAAUGGCGAAUAAAGCAGUGCCGCCAAUAAAAGCGAUAUAAAACUAGGAAUAACCCGCAAGUGUUUCUUGCCUCCAUAACCUACACCGCCACAGGUAGUGUAGGUUAUGGAGGCAGUACGAUGUGUCGUGGAAAUCCAAGCUUUGAAAAGCUGGUAAUAUGGACAAAUCUUACUGAUAGAUUUAAGAUAAGCAUAUAUGAUUUUCUCUGUACUAAGGUCCGGAAAUUGUUGAAGACACAUACUGUAAUGACACACUGUUAUGUAACACAUGUGAUAUAGAUGUUUAGGUUUAGUAUGAAAUGUAUACGACUAUAUUUUAUAUAUUACAUGACAUUUUUAUACUGCUGGUAAUAUCCCAGAAAUUAUAUGUAAUAAAUGCACCAAUUUACAAUUA